AACCACUAGGCUACCUGCUGGUUACUAGUCCAACGCUCUAACCACUAGGCUACCUGCUGGUUACUAGUCCAACGCUCUAACCACUAGGCUACCUGCUGGUUACUAGUCCAACGCUCUAACCACUAGGCUACCUGCUGGUUACUAGUCCAACGCUCUAACCACUAGGCAACCUGCUGGUUACUAGUCCAACGCUCUAACCACUAGGCAACCUGCUGGUUACUAGUCCAACGCUCUAACCACUAGGCUACCCUGCUGGUUACUAGUCCAACGCUCUAACCACUAGGCUACCUGCUGGUUACUAGUCCAACGCUCUAACCACUAGGCUUCCUGCCGCCUACUACACUCUAACCACUAGGCUACCCUGCCGCCUCUACACUCUAACCACUAGGCUACCCUGCCGCUAGAUAUAUUAUAUUCUGCUGAUGAUGAUCCAUCUUGAAAUAUCCUCUUGCACUUUUAAUAGUCAGUAUACAAGGAUUAUUUCUCAUUCCUUUUUACAACUCCAUCCUUCCAACAUGCUGGGGUAUGUUAAGAGGGCAGUCCUGGAAAUGUAGCCACCUGACGAGCCACAGUCAAGCACCCAAAGGUGGCUUACAUUGUAGCUAGCUACACGAUCCCGAGCCACAGUCAAGCACCCAAAGGUGGCUUACAUUGUAGCUAGCUACACGAUCCCGAGCCACAGUCAAGCACCCAAAGGUGGCUUACAUUGUAGCUAGCUACACGAUCCCGAGCCACAGUCAAGCACCCAAAGGUGGCUUACAUUGUAGCUAGCUACACGAUCCCGAGCCACAGUCAAGCACCCAAGGUGGCUUACAUUGUAGCUAGCUACACGAUCCCGAGCCACAGUCAAGCACCCAAGGUGGCUUACAUUGUAGCUAGCUACACGAUCCCGAGCCACAGUCAAGCACCCAAAGGUGGCUUACAUUGUAGCUAGCUACACGAUCCUGCAACGUCUCGAACAGUCUUACCUGACAAAGAUUCCAGUGGGAUGGAAACGUUGUGGUUGAGUGUCUUUAUACACCACAUGGGAGUAUAAUACACUGAA